rnacentral:rRNA from 1 species
UAGGGAAUCUUCGGCAAUGGGUGCAACCCUGACCGAGCAACGCCGCGUGAGUGAAGAAGGUUUUCGGAUCGUAAAGCUCUGUUGUAAGAGAAGAACGUGUGUGAGAGUGGAAAGUUCACACAGUGACGGUAACUUACCAGAAAGGGACGGCUAACUACGUGCCAGCAGCCGCGGUAAUACGUAGGUCCCGAGCGUUGUCCGGAUUUAUUGGGCGUAAAGCGAGCGCAGGCGGUUUAAUAAGUCUGAAGUUAAAGGCAGUGGCUUAACCAUUGUUCGCUUUGGAAACUGUUAAACUUGAGUGCAGAAGGGGAGAGUGGAAUUCCAUGUGUAGCGGUGAAAUGCGUAGAUAUAUGGAGGAACACCGGUGGCGAAAGCGGCUCUCUGGUCUGUAACUGACGCUGAGGCUCGAAAGCGUGGGGAGCAAACAGG